AUUGAACGCUGGCGGCAGGCCUAACACAUGCAAGUCGAGCGAGCGGCGGACGGGUGAGUAAUGUCUGGGAAAAUGAAUGAUGGGGGGGGAUAACUACUGGAAACGGUAGCUAAUACCGCAUACCAUCAGAUGUGCCCAGAUGGGAUGAGCUAGUAGGUGUGGACACGGCUCACCUAGGCGACGAUCCCUAGCUGGUCUGAGAGGAUAACCAGCCAAAGUGGACCGUAGACACGGUCCAGACUCCUACGGGAGGCAGCAGUGGGGAAGAUUGCACAAUGGGCGCAAGCCUGAUGAAGCCAUGCCGCGUGUGUGAAGAAGGCCUUCGGGUUGUAAAGCACUUUCAGCGGGGAGGCGUUACCCGCAGAAGAAGCACCGGCUAACUCCGUGCCAGCAGCCGCGGUAAUUC
rnacentral:rRNA from 1 species